rnacentral:rRNA from 1 species
CGCUGGCGGCGUGCCUAAUACAUGCAAGUCGAACGGCUUUUCUAUGGAAGCUUGCUUCCACUGAGAAGAUAGUGGCGAACGGGUGAGUAACACGUGGGUAACCUGCCCAUAAGAGGGGGGAUAACAUCCGGAAACGGGUGCUAAUACCGCAUAGUUUUCUUGAUCGCAUGAUUGAGAAAGGAAAGACGGCCUUUGUGCUGUCGCUUAUGGAUGGACCCGCGGCGUAUUAGUUAGUUGGUGAGGUAACGGCUCACCAAGACGAUGAUACGUAGCCGACCUGAGAGGGUGAUCGGCCACAUUGGGACUGAGACACGGCCCAAACUCCUACGGGAGGCAGCAGUAGGGAAUCUUCCGCAAUGGACGAAAGUCUGACGGAGCAACGCCGCGUGAGUGAAGAAAGGUUUUCGGAUCGUAAAACUCUGUUGUCAGAGAAGAACAAGUUGGAGAGUAACUGCUCCAGCCUUGACGGUAUCUGACCAGAAAGCCACGGCUAACUACGUGCCAGCCGCGGC